GAAAUGCGAUACUUGGUGUGAAUUGCAGAAUCCCGUGAACCAUCGAGUCUUUGAACGCAAGUUGCGCCCGAAGCCCUCGUGGCCAGGGCACGUCUGUCUGGGCGUCACGCACCGCGUCGCCCCCACCCCCCCCGCCCGGGGGGGGAACGGGGCGGAGACUGGCCCCCCGUGUGCCUCGUGGCGCGCGGCCGGCCCAAACGCAGACCCCGCGACCGCUGGACGGCGCGACGAUCGGUGGAGUAGACCCUACGCAUCCCGUCGCGCCCCGAGCGGCCCUCGGAGGCCACGAUCGACCCCCAGUGAAACCACCGUUGCGACCCCAGAUCAGGCGGGACUACCCGCUGAGUUUAA
rnacentral:misc_RNA from 1 species